AGAGACAGGUGAGUCAUCGAAUCUUUGAACGCACAUUGCGCCCUUUGGUAUUCCGAAGGGCAUGCCUGUUCGAGCGUCAUUAUCAACCAUCAAGCCCGGCUUGUUAUUGGGUCUUUUUUAUCGGUUAGACGAUAGGCCUGAAAGAUAAUGGCGGCGUCAAGAUGAGACCCCAGGUGCAGCGAGCUAUAAGCAUACACUGAGGCGGUCGUCUUGGCCCGGUCUUAACUAUUUUAUUUUCUAAGGUUGACCUCGGAUCAGGUAGGAUUACCCGCUGAACUUAAGCAUAUCAAUAAGCGGAGG
rnacentral:misc_RNA from 1 species